rfam:Candidatus Nomurabacteria bacterium GWB1_40_6 gwb1_scaffold_11078, whole genome shotgun sequence.
AGGGGUAUAGUUCAAUGGCAGAACGAUGCUCUCCAAAAGCAUUAAUCUCCGUUCAAGUCGGAGUACCCCUG